GACGAACGCUGGCGGCGUGCCUAAUACAUGCAAGUUGAGCGAUGAAGAUUGGUGCUUGCACCAAUUUGAAGAGCAGCGAACGGGUGAGUAACGCGUGGGGAAUCUGCCUUUGAGCGGGGGACAACAUUUGGAAACGAAUGCUAAUACUGCAUAAUAACUUUAAACAUAAGUUUUAAGUUUGAAAGAUGCAAUUGCAUCACUCAAAGAUGAUCCCGCGUUGUAUUAGCUAGUUGGUGAGGUAAAGGCUCACCAAGGCGAUGAUACAUAGCCGACCUGAGAGGGUGAUCGGCCACAUUGGGACUGAGACACGGCCCAAACUCCUACGGGAGGCAGCAGUAGGGAAUCUUCGGCAAUGGACGAAAGUCUGACCGAGCAACGCCGCGUGAGUGAAGAAGGUUUUCGGAUCGUAAAACUCUGUUGGUAGAGAAGAACGUUGGUGAGAGUGGAAAGCUCAUCAAGUGACGGUAACUACCCAGAAAGGGACGGCUAACUACGUG
rnacentral:rRNA from 1 species